rnacentral:lncRNA from 1 species
UUUUUUUUUUUUUUUUUUUUUUUUUUUUUUUUUUUGGUUUUUUGAGACAGGGUUUCUCUGUGUAUCACUGGCUGUUCUGGAACUCACUCUGUAGACCAGGCUGGCCUCGAACUCAGAAAUCCACCUGCUUCUUCCUCUCAAGUGCUGGGAUUAAAGGUGUGCACCACCACCACUGCCUGGCCACACCUGAGUUUUACAUCUGCCUGUGGGUCAUGCCAAUAAAACAGUGGGGCCUCAAGGAGAUGGCCCCUCCCCAACAGCUCCAGAACAUAAGUCCUAAGGCAUGCUGGGAGACAGCAAGAGUCUAACAUGUCUAACAACAUACUCUCUACAUUGCCUUUUUUUCUUAAGUCAAGAGACAGUGAACUUGGAGGAAGCCAACGGGUAGGAACUGUGAUCUCUUACCCCCUGGACGCCAGGCGGGAAGACAUAUUGGAUGACAAUGGUGCCAUACUUCUCGUAGCUGGGCAGCAGGAGGGUGGCAUCCUUGGAGACCAGCAUCCGUCCGUUCUGGGGCUGGUUGCCCACAAGCUGCCCGUAGAAUCGGCCGCACAUGGGGCAGGCCUUUUUCACCUGCAGGGCCCGUGUGAUGCAGCCCUCACAGAAGGAGUGCCUGCACUUCUCCAGCGUCUUGGCAUUCUGUAUCUCCCCCAGGCAAAUGGGGCAGGUGGUUUCCUGCUCUUCAGCGUCCUCUCUGAGACGAGGAGGGAGUGGAGGGGGCAGGGGAGGAGGAGGAGGGGGUAGCCCUCUUGCCCCUGGGGGCAGGAGUGGGGCUGCUCGGAGGGGAGGAGGGCCUGGGCGGUGCAGCUCGGGGUGUUCCCCUCCACCCCCCAAAGCCAGGCAGCCCAUGAGCUCCCCCUGCCUCUGGGCUUUCUUUAGCUCUUUCUCUGCCUCUUUCAGUAGCCCCUUGAGAGCCUUCCUGGCCAGGUAGAGCCCAUUGGGAGGGGCUGGGGGAGGACCCUGUGGGGACAGCUGGAGCACGUAGAUGUCAGAAGUCUCGCCAUCUAUGAGGAUGGACACCCGAUGCUCCUCCCGAAGCCGGGCCAGCCGGGCUGGGGUCUCCUUGCUCAGGAAGUCCCACACAGGCUUGGAGACAGUCACUUUGUUCUUGCAGGAGCCUCCACAGGCUGCCAUUCUGGACAGGACGAACGACACUGCCCCCAGGGUGAAAGGGACUCAGAGUGGGGAGUCCCCAUUUGACAGAUAAAUGUGCCUCUUACUUCAGGCUCCUUCUGAACCCCCUGUGUUACCUCUGUUUCCCUCAAAGCCAACCCCCAACACUGCCCACAAACCGGUUGGUUUUCUAUCUCCACUUCUGUCCCAUAGCCCAGCACCCUCUGGGCACAGGUUUCCAUAUUUCAUCGUUAUCUAAGCCAAGCACCAGCCCUGCUUGCUUCUUUCAUUUCUCCCCUGAGCACAACAACCUGCCCCUUCUCCCC